UGUGCCUCUUCCACACACACACACACACACACACACACACACGUGCGCUCACUCCACGAAUCGCUGCCCUUUACGGCGACAGCUCAAUUUCGCACAGCUGGCACACAGAGACGGAGCGACGCGAUGAGGACGCUGCAGAGCUCUUUGCGUGGCCGCCUCCGCCGCGGCCGUGGUCGUGGUGGCGGCCGCGGCGGAGGCGCCGAUAGCCGCUUUGCCGCCCGCUUCACGGACCCCCGCUUCAGGGUGUCUGCCCAGACUAGCCGCCAUCCACACCGGCGCGCACACGAUGCGGUGGAGAGGGCGGCGCAGAGCGAUCCGCGCUUUGCGAAGCACUUCCGCCCAGCCGAAAGGGAGGAUGACGUGGGGGCGAGUGAUGUGGUAUCGACCGUUUCUAGCGACAUGAGCGAGCACACGUCAUCUGCCUCAAACAACAGCCAUAGCAGGACCAUCGGCGAGGAAGGGGACGACUGCAUGUCGCUUCCGCAGGAGGAGGAGGCAGCUCUGGACGACGAGGUGGUUGCCUGGGUGCCUGACGAGGUUGAGUUUAUCGCAGCCCGUCGCCGCGUCGCCAUCGUGAACUGUGACUGGGAUCACGUGCGUGCCGUCGACCUCUAUGCCAUUCUUUUCCACGCCCUCCCACUUGGUGGUCAACUGCUCGACGUGAGCGUUUACAGAAGUGAGUUUGGCAAGCGCAUGCUUGAGCACGAGAGGAUGCACGGCCCCGACCUGUGGGUGCACGGCGGUGAUGCGAAAGUCGCUGCUGAUGGCAAGAGUGGCCCCGAGGAGGGCACCGGUGGCGCGAUGCCAGAGCCGGAGGAGCUGCCAGAGGACGUCUCUGAAGACGCCGUCAGCGAACCCCGCAGCGACGGGUGGGCGGACGAUGACCCGAGAAUGAUGACGGAGCAGGGCGAAGACGGGGAGUGGUUCUCUGAUGGCAAGUACCGGCGGUACGAGAUGGACCGCAUGAAGUACUACUACGCCGUGGCCACCUUCGACUCCGCAGACACCGCCGCCAUGGUGUACAACGAGCUCGACGGGAUGGACAUCGAGGCGAGCGGUGUCGUACUGGACCUCCGCUACGUCGAUGACGAGGAAAUGUUCGAGAGUCCGGUUAGCCGCGCGGAUCGAAUCCCGGCAAAUUUCAAACCACUAGCGUGCUUCAAGAUGAGUGCCCUAAGCCAGAGCAAGUUCCGCAUUUCAUGGGACCAAGACGACGUGUUCCGUCAUCAGUCCCUGCAGGACUCCUUCACCGGCACCACGGAGGAGGAUGACCUGGCCGCCUACCUCGCCCCGGCAGACUCGGAUGACGAGAUGGACAGCAACCCACUUGACCAGGAGAAGAAGGCACGCGAGAAGCGCAGGAUCCGCCGCAGGUACGCCGCCCUCUUGGAGGAGGUGGGCGGCAUCCCCGAGGAACUGGAGGGCGAUCACAAAGGUGAUGGGCUCGGCGACCACGCCGAUCUUGGCAGCGGCCUCGGUGACCUCAGCAACAGCGACCUGGACGACCUCGACGACAGCGGCGACGACGACUCCAUUAACCGCUUCAGCGACGUUGAGGUGGACGGCCACGACGCCGACGAGGGAGGCGGUGAAGAGGACGACGACGAUGGGUCGGUGGUGGGAGACAUGGAGGCAACGUUGGACAUGGACGUCGAUACGAAAGCUGCCAGCUUGCAGCGUGACGCUCGACUGAGGCAGAAGAUGAAAGCUGCUGACCUCGCGAAGCAGGCAGAGCUUAAGUACAAGCUGCGCCGAAAGGAGAUGAAGAAGUCCAAAAAGGAUAUGCUGCGCCAGGAGCGGGAGGCAGGGAAGGCGUACCAGGCUGCGCACGAGGCCGAGAAUCGGCAGAAGCUGAGAGAGUUGAUGGGCACGGACGACGGCACAGUGCGGGUGAGCGGCAAAGAGCGGCGCAAGGCGCACGCGAGACAGGUGAAGGAGCGGCUUGCAGAGGAGCGUGCUGCCAAGAAGAAGAUGCGCGCCGCCAACCAGCUUGGCGUCACGCAGCAGGUGCAGCACACCCGGCGCGAGCAGGAGGCUGAGAAGGCAGUGGGGCAAAUCGACGAUCGCUUCAAGACGAAGCUGCUCUCCGACCCGCGCUUUCAUUUGGAGGUCUCGCAGAAGGACAAGCGCGUCGCCGACGGCGUGGCUCAGCUUGCGUCGACAGUCGCGAAGGCGCGUCAAGGCAAGCGCGGGCGCUCUGACGGUGAUGGAAAGUACACCGCGGCAGGCAACUCAGUAGACGACACCGUCGAUUUCUUCUUGGCAAAGAAGAAGAAGGCCCUCAAGUAGCUUGACUGCAGCACGUGUGCCGUUAUGGACCUCUACCUCCUUUCUGCUAACAGGUUGGGGUGUUGUCGGGCACAUGAUGCGUCCCUUUCGCUUUUCGUUUCCCCCUUUUACGUAACCAUCGAAUAAGUAACGGUGUAGCACGUCUGACGAGU
rnacentral:misc_RNA from 1 species